rnacentral:rRNA from 1 species
AAGCUCGUACUUGAAUUUCGGGAUUAGUACGUCGGUCGUGCCUUAGGUACGUACUGGUGUUACUGGUUCCUACCUUCUGACGAACCAUCAUGUCAUUAAUUUGGUGUGGUGGGGAAUCAGGACUGUUACUUUGAAAAAAUUAGAGUGUUUAAAGCAGGCUCGCGCUUGAAUACAUUAGCAUGGAAUAAUGAAAUAGGACGUUGAUCCUAUUUUGUUGGUUUCUAGGAUUGACGUAAUGAUUAAUAGGGAUAGUUGGG